AUAAAAACCAAACAGUGUCAAACUCAUUCUCUUAAGAAAAUUGACACACAACAUGAAUGCAUGUGGCAGACAUAUCUCGGACCACCUAUCCCCUAUCCCCAAUUCACAAUCACUGAUUCACCAUCAUAGAGUUUGCAAAGGACUCGAAUUUCUAUCAAGUUAUCCAAGCUUUAUCGAUCAAGGCGAAUUUUAUCAGGUUCGAAUUUCGAAUGCACAAUUUAUUAUUAAUGUCAUAAAUAUUUUUUAGUUAUCAGAGUUUUCGAAUUGAGUUAACUUUUCUAGAUCAAAAUCCAAGCUUAUAUUAGAAGAACGUAUUAGAAAAAUGUCGAGUUAUCAAAUCAAAUGUGAGCUUAACCUAACAUCAUCAAGUGAUCUCGAGUUCUAGUUAUUAUAGAAAUAAAUAUAGUUUUCAUAUGCGCUAAUAAUAAUGAAAGUCAAAGUAAAAAAAAAUUAUAUUAAUCGGAAACAAUUGAGAAGAGCGUGAUGUUAAUUUGAGUUGGAAUAAACCAAAUCAAAGAUAUACUGGUGAAACUUGAAAACAGUUGAUAUAUUUCAAGAUAAUCUUUAGCUGAAAUUGUAUUUAUGCAUGGUGUGCUAACAUGCAUGGAUGCAUCAGUCGUGGCCCGUGGGCAAUAAAUAGUUUUACAUUUUGAAGUGCAAUUUACUAGCUUUUAAAAAAACAAAAAGAUUUAUUUUAAGUUAUAAGUAAGUUUGUUGACUAAAAAUUGUGGUAGUUAUAUAUUUAAGAUUUCAUACGAGACUAUGAAAGUCGAGAGAUGCAAUAUUGCAACUAGGCCAAAUACUUUUUGCGUGCAUAUGAAACUAAAUCAGAUAACCGACACAAAUACUCCCGAUGGUUUGGGCAGUAUCUUCGUUUGUCCCUAACUCUUUUUUAUUUUUUAUCUUUUUAUUUUAAUUUUAUUAUUUUUUAACUUGGGUCAUCCUUACAUUUUGAUUUGGUUUCGAUUUUACUUUCUGAUCAAUUUAAAUCGACUAUUUUACUCUUUAUCAUAUUUUUUAACAUAUUUUUAGAUUUUAUGCAUAAAAGUCUCAUUAUUUAUGAAAAACUUUUGAUAAAGUUUUAAAUAUAUUUUUUUUGAACAAAAAAAUCCAAUUAUUUUGGAAAAAUCACAUAAUCUAUUAUUUUCUAUUAAAAUAUGAUAAAUAAUGUUUUUGUUAAUUUGGACAAAAUGUUAAAUAAUCAAGAUUUUUCUAUUAAAAAAAUUACGCCUUUAAUUAUCAAAAAAAUUCCUAAAAUAAUGAGAUUUUUCUACACACAAACCUUUAAAUUAUUAUGAUAUAAGUAAAUUAUUUAAAGGAUUAUCUCUCUCUCUCUCUCUCUCUCUCUCUCUCUCUCUCUCUCCCAAAAGAACACCCAUCAGAAGAGCAAGUAAUUGUUCCUUUCUCCACUUCGACGUCGUCAGACACGUGUAGGUGGUGGUUAUUCGGAAACUUAGUUAAACCAUUCCUUUUUCCCAUUUCACAUCUAUGCUAUCCGAAACCUCCUUUGAUGGUGAUGAAUUUUCUAGUGUGGAGAACUAGUGUUGGCGAGACUAUAGAGAGAUCAAGGAUGCAAGGUGGGGGAGAGAUAAGGGAAAGAGGUUUGGUGUGCAUAUUUACACAAUUAUUCUAUAUAAGAAUUAAAAUAAAAUUAAAAUAUAUUAUUAAGGGAAAAAUAAUUAUUAUACGGACCAAAAUCCAACGGAUUAUACAUAGUAAUGACAUUGACCUCAAGAUUUAUAGAUUUUUUUUAAAAUAAUUGGUUUUGUCAUCCAAAAAGGAGUUGCAGCACAGUCUGUUGUUUGUUUUACCCGCUAUGUCUAUGUAAAACUUUCUUCAAUUAAUGAUAAUGAUUAUUGACCGAUAAAAAAAAAUCAUAAGGAUGGUUCGAAUUUAAAAAAAAAGAUUAAAGACCAAGCAUGUAUAUUAACCCACAAACCACAUGGAACAUUCAUGUAAUUUACCCAAAGAUUUGUGAUUAAUUUGCAAAGUGUAUUUUCAAAGGAUUAAAGGCAAAGUAAUACUAUAUUUUCGAAUUGAUUCCAUUCAAGUUAAUAAGUAUAUUUUCAAGGGAUUAAGGUCAUAUAUUUUUUUUCUUAAAAGACAAUUGGUGUAGACCAUUGAACUACCUCAAAUGUGGUUGCCCCUGCUCUCCUUUGAUCCUUAAACAUAAUCAUCCGAGACUUGAAUAAAAUUAACAUGCGUGGUAAGGGGUCGUUUGUUAUUGCUUCUACUUGCAUCUAACAAGGACCUGGUCCAAAAAAGAUAGAUCAAGAAGUUUGAUUUUGUUUUUUACAAUUAAGGACUCGGUCCAAGCAUAAGACUCAGUCUAAGAAAAAAGGUUGAUUCAGUCCUUCCCUCUCAAUCGCUGGACUAGGACGUAUAUUGGUUAUGCGUAUUCGGAAUUUACCCUACGUAAUAUGUUGAGAACCUGCACAGAGAAAAGGCAGUGAUCAACGAAGCAACGACAUGACCGAUCAAAAGUUGAACAAGAUGGUAGAGAAAUUAACAAAUGCGCCCCUCCUUUACCCAUAUCUAUGCACCGAGUUGUUUGAUGGUGUGACCACGACUGGUGCUGUCAGUUGGGGACUAUCUUCGACACUCCCUCAUCCUCCAUCAAAAGUGUUUACUACAAAAGAUUAUGAGGAUAUCGAGAUGGUAGAUCCACCACCUCAAAUGGAUAUCCCAGCCUCAGCUUUAACACUACACCCCCAACAAGUUCCUCAACAGUACCCCCACCUAUAAGUGCAUCACAUGUAAGUGAAGAUUCCUCUGGUCAGACCAAAAACAAAAGAGGAAAAUGAAAUGCACUCGCACCCAAGGACACACUGGAUGAUGAAAUAAGAGAGGUUGGCAAGGAAAUUAUGAAGGCGACUCAGGAGUUCGCGCAAACAAGUAAUCUUGACAAGGAGAUGGAUGAAUGUAUUGAUAAAUUGAAAGGCUUGGGUUGGGGAAAUUCUGAUCCAAAAUACAUCACUGCUCUUAUGUUAUUCGCUAAAAAUGUUGGUAAUAGAAAAUUUUGGUUACGCCUCGAGUCUGCGACUUGUGAGUUGUGGGUGAAAAGUGCGGGCAAGAAUUUUGGAUUACUUGGUUGACUUUAGUAUGACUUUAGGAUGUUUUUGACUUUAUGUUUUAUGGAUUUAUAUCAUGGUACAUGUUAUGGAUUUUUAUGUUUAGGGUUGUUAUGUGUUGUGUUUAGAAUUUUUUAUGUUUAGGUUUUUUAUGUGUUAUGUUUAGGAUUGUUAUAUGGUAUUGAUUUUUAUGUUAUGGAUUUUUAUGUGAUGGAUUUAUAUGUUAUGGAUUUUUAUGUUA